AUUGAACGCUGGCGGCAUGCUUUACACAUGCAAGUCGAACGGCAACGCGGAGAAGCUUGCUUCUCUGUCGGCGAGGGGCGAACGGGUGAGUAUAGCAUCGGAACGUGCCAAGUAGGGGGGGAUACCCAAACGAAAGGUUGGCUAAUACCGCGGAAGCUCCAAGGAGGAAAGUAGGGGACCUAAAUAAGGCCUUACGCUAUUUGAUCGGCCGAUGUCGGAUUAGCUAGUUGGUGGGGUAAUGGCUCACCAAGGCAAUGAUCCGUAGCGGGUCUGAGAGGACGAUCGGCCACACUGGGACUGAGACACGGCCCAGACUCCUACGGGAGGCAGCAGUGGGGAAUUUUGGACAAUGGGGGAAACCCUGAUCCAGCCAUGCCGCGUGUAUGAAGAAGGCCUUAGGGUUGUAAAGUACUUUUGUUAGGGAAGAACAGCUGUUUUUUAAUAAAAAUUAGUGAUGACGGUACCUAAAGAAUAAGCACCGGCUAACUACGUG
rnacentral:rRNA from 1 species